rnacentral:rRNA from 1 species
AACGAACGCUGGCGGCAUGCCUAACACAUGCAAGUCGAACGAGACCUUCGGGUCUAGUGGCGCACGGGUGCGUAACGCGUGGGAACCUGCCCUUAGGUUCGGAAUAACUCCCCGAAAGGGGUGCUAAUACCGGAUAAUGUCUUCGGACCAAAGAUUUAUCGCCUUUGGAUGGGCCCGCGUUGGAUUAGCUAGUUGGUAGGGUAAAAGCCUACCAAGGCGACGAUCCAUAGCUGGUCUGAGAGGAUGAUCAGCCACACUGGGACUGAGACACGGCCCAGAAUCCUACGGGAGGCAGCAGUGGGGAAUAUUGGACAAUGGGCGAAAGCCUGAUCCAGCAAUGCCGCGUGAGUGAUGAAGGCCUUAGGGUUGUAAAGCUCUUUUACCCGGGAUGAUAAUGACAGUACCGGGAGAAUAAGCUCCGGCUAACUACGUG